AAUCACCAUUGGAGGCUCCCUCCCGGGGCACCCGUGCUGGCGAGCUGAGAGGAAAUGGCAGGGAGGUCCCUGACAUCGAAGGCCGAGCCCACCGCAGGAGCCAUGGACAGGGCUGAGAAGGCCGGAGGGCAGGACACAUCCUCACAGAAAAUUGAAGACUUGAUGGAAAUGGUGCAAAAGCUGCAGAAAGGUCAUGUGUCUCCUUUGUGUGAGGCACAGCCUGAGGUUUGGGGCCAGGCAGAUGUGGGUUUAAUUUCAGGCCCCACAAUGUACGAAUUUGGGAAAUAAUCCUCUUCACCUUCUCUUUCUUUUAAAACUUAAUUACUUAAACUAAAAAUAGGGCCCCAUGAUUCAAAAUUAAAGAAGCAAAAGGGUGUGGAAGGCAAAAUGUUUUCCCAAAACCCUGUUCCACACCUCUCGCUGGUCACCCAUUUGGCUCCACUGCAGUCCAUUAGAUCCAGAAGUUGCCACCUUCACUUCCCUUCCUUCCCCCUCACCCACUACUCCCUCUUUGCUCACUAGGCUCCUGCCAGCCGUGUUCCCACCUCACAACGGGUCUUUGCACUGACUACCUCCCAACCCCACCCAAAGAGCUGAAGGGCCUGCGCCCCCACUACUUGACUUGGGGCCCUCAUGAUACCUUCCCAUAUCUCAGGAGCACUUCCCACUCCUUUGCUCUUUAACCCCCCUUUCCCUACUUUAUUUCUCUUGAACACGAUUACCACAGCCCCACUCGGUAUCUUAUUGUGUCUGUUCCCAGUCUCGCCCACCCAGAAUGUGAGCCCCGUGAGGGCCCCACAGAGCACCUGCUUGCAGGAGGAGGUACUCAAUAGAUGUGUGUUGUGUGAAAGCAGCAGAGACACAAGGCUGGCAACCGCCCCACCUCUGCCUGCCCUGUCAACUGAACCUCCUUUCCUCCCUGCAGUGGGAAGCCUAGAGCCCCGAGUUGAGGUCCUGAUUAACCGGAUUAAUGAGGUCCAGCAAGGUGAGUUCAGGGGCCUUGGCUGCCAGCUAGGACCAGCUACAUGGUUUGCGGGGCUCAGUGCCAAAUGAGAAUGCAGGGUCCCUUGUUCCAAAGUUACUGGUUAUUCACAACAGCAACAGCAGAGCCUUAAAUUAAGUACAGGGCAUUUCAGCAUGCGACUGCCAUAGUUACAUGCCUAUGAUCCUGGCCCUGCUAUCAGCAGAGCCUGGCAAGGAGAGCUGGAAGCCUCAUUUCCUACUCUAGAAAAUCUAGGCCACUAUAGAUUUACCUGAAGGCAAAUGAGAAAUGUCACUGUUGGCAAGAGAAUAGAGGCUGCACUCACACAAUGUUUUUCUGCUCUUUGGUGAAGCAAAAAAGAAAGCCAAUAAAGACCUAGGAGAGGCCCGGACCAUCUGUGAGGCCCUGCAGAAGGAACUGGACUUGCUGCAUGGAGAGAAAGUACACCUGAAGGAGAUCUUGAGCAAGAAACAAGAGACCCUGAGGAUCCUCCGGCUGCAUUGCCAGGAAAAGGAAAGUGAGGCACAGAGGAAGCACACCAUGUUGCAGGAGUGCAAGGAGAGAAUUUCUGCCCUGAACUUGCAGAUUGAAGAAGAGAAGAACAAACAGAGACAGCUGAGGUUGGCAUUCGAGGAACAGCUGGAAGAUCUGAUGGGCCAGCACAAGGACCUCUGGGACUUCCACAGGCCAGAGCGGCUGGCAAGGGAGAUUUGUGCCCUGGACAGCAGCAAGGAGCAGCUGCUCAAGGAAGGUGAGGCCAGGGAGGGUGGAUGGCCCAUAUCUGACCUCACGUGCCCUCAUGUGCUCACCUGCCCCUUCGUGCUGCAGAGAAGCUGGUCAAGGCGACACUGGAAGACGUGAAGCAUCAGCUGUGCUCCCUGUGUGGGGCUGAGGGCCCCUCCACCCUCGAUGAGGGACUCUUUCUCCGCAGCCAGGAGGCUGCAGCCACAGUGUAAGAUGUGGAGGUGAAGAGGGUGGGAGGAGGGAGUGGCCGGUGCUGACCACCCCCUACUGGGCCCCCCCAGGCAGCUGUUUCAGGAAGAGCACAGGAAGGCUGAGGAGCUCCUAGCAGCUGCUGCCCAGUGCCACCAGCAGCUGCAGCAGAAGUGCCAACAACAGCAGCAGAAGCGGCAGAGGCUGAAGGAAGAGCUGGAAAAGCAUGGAAUGCAAGUCUCUACCCAAGCCCAGAGCACACAAGAGGAAGAGGCUGGCCCGGGAGAUGUGACUCCCAGACCAGGUAGACCAGUGACAUGGUGGAGUUGAAAAGAGAGGCUCACUGCAGAGCACUGUUUCCAUGGAAAAAUGGAACAUGGCAAAGUGCAGAAAUUCUUCACUCAGUCCAGGACAGACAAGUUCUCUAAGAUGCAGUUAAUCAUACCUGUCUUAAACAAAUUGGCAAUACACUAUCAAACAUGACUUUUAAAUCAAGUGGAAGUUAGAAAAUAUAUUGAACUGAAUGGCAAUGAAGAUACCACAUUUUAAAACUGUAAUUCAGUUAAGCGCACGAUUAGAAGGAACUUUAGCUUUUAUUGGUUCACCACAAUUUUUUUAAAAAUCAACCAAUGAUUGUUCAGUUAAUGAAUAAAAGGUAUUUGACACAGUUCACCUAUUCAUGUGAAAAAAAAUACUAAUAAACAGUCAGCUUCCCUUA
rnacentral:sRNA from 1 species